rnacentral:rRNA from 1 species
UUGGAGGGCAAGUCUGGUGCCAGCAGCCGCGGUAAUUCCAGCUCCAAUAGCGUAUAUUAAAGUUGUUGUAGUUAAAAAGCUCGUAGUUGAAUUUCGGGGUCAGUAGGUCGGUCGUGCCACUGGUAUGAACUGGUUUUACUGAUUCCUCCCUCUUGAAGAACUGUAAUGCCAUUAAUUUGGUGUUGCAGGGAAUCAGGACUGUUACUUUGAAAAAAUUAGAGUGUUUAAAGCAGGCUUUAGCUUGAAUACAUUAGCAUGGAAUAAUGAAAUAGGACGUUUGAUCCUAUUUUGUUGGUUUCUAGGAUUGACGUAAUGAUUAAUAGGGAUAGUUGGGGGCAUUAGUAUUCAAUUGUCAGAGGUGAAAUUCUUGGAUUUAUUGAAGACUAACUACUGCGAAAGCAUUUGCCAAGGAUGUUUUCACUAAUCAAGAACGAAAGUUAGGGGAUCGAAGACGAUCAGAUACCGUCGUAGUCUUAACCAUAAACUAUGCCGACUAGGAAUCGGAAUUUGUUAUUAUAAUGACAAGUCCGGCGCCUUACGGGAAAC